rnacentral:rRNA from 1 species
AUGGACCAUUCCAUCCCUUAUUCCCGUGGCUAUGCAUCAGAUUCGGAUGACGAAGGUCCCGAUGAACAAGUUGAUGAGGAGGGGUUCACAGUGAAGGAGGCCGGAGCUUUCGAGAAGGUAUUCGAUCGAGAUCAUCGGACUACAUUGUUCAAGGAUGUUAGUCUCGCGGAUGAAGCCGUGGUAGACGGUGGCCAAGGUAUGUCUCUUGGGGUUAGACCAAGAUCUCACCGUGAUCUGGAUGACGACAAGAAUGGGAUUGCUAAAGGGUCUAAGUUCGAAACCUUAUUGAAUUGA